rnacentral:rRNA from 1 species
ACAAGCGGUGGAUGAUGUGGUUUAAUUCGAUGCAACGCGAAAACCUUACCCACCUUUGACAUGUACGGAACCCUUUAGAGAUAGAGGGUGCUCGAAAGAGAGCCGUAACACAGGUGCUGCAUGGCUGUCGUCAGCUCGUGUCGUGAGAUGUUGGGUUAAGUCCCGCAACGAGCGCAACCCUUGUCAUUAGUUGCUACAUUCAGUUGGGCACUCUAAUGAGACUGCCGGUGACAAGCCGGAGGAAGUGGGGAUGACGUCAAGUCCUCAUGGCCCUUAUAGGUGGGGCUACACACACGCUACAAUGGCCGGUACAGAGGGGCGCAAAGCCGCGAGGUGGAGCAAAUCUCACAAAGCCGGUCUCAGUUCAGAUUGCAGGCUGCAACCCGCCUGCAUGAAGUCGGAGUUGCUAGUAACCGCAGGUCAGCUAUACUGCGGUGAAUACGUUCCCGGGUCUU